rfam:TPA: Bos taurus chromosome 2, whole genome shotgun sequence.
CCUGGUGGCUCAGAUGGUAAAGAAUCUGCCUGCAAAGCAGGAGACCCAGGUUUGAUCCUGGAGUCGGGA